CUCCUAGCGCUCAUUCUAGGCAAUCCACCCACCCAUGAGGGGAAACGUGGAGAAGAAGGAAGCUUCCCUGCCUGAGACAUGUAUGGAAGUCAAGAGCUCCAGGGUCAUGAGACCUGCCCAAUCCAGCAGAAACACGUUUGGAGAGAGAAACAGUCAUGACACGGAUCUCCAGGUAGUGUCUCCCUGACGGACUGGGAAGUCAUCUUUGCUGAAGACAUUUGGCGAGAGCGAGAGGCAUCCAGGCCCCUGAGAAACAGGGGAGGCAGAGCGAGAGGGAGGAGAGAGCAGAGGCCGGAGCCCAGGCAGCGUAUAGCACCGUGCCACCUCCAUGGGCAUAAGGGGAGGGGUUCCAAAAGCGUGGCUUUUCCAGAGAGGCCAGCGUUCCAGUGACAGGGAUUGUUGCCAUCUCCCAUUCCCGGCUUCCUCUUGCAGACCGUAGCGUGGUGUGGCUUCAUUUCUCAGAGAAGAGCCGUGAAAAGAUACAAGCAUCUUCUCUGACGUGGGACCUCUGCUCUCCUGUCGGACAAAGAGCUCCUAUGGGGCUCUUGUCCUCGGCUGCAGUGUGUUCAUCUUGGUCCUAGGAGAGAGGCCGCUCAGGAUGGGGAUGAGAUUUCAAUUGCUCCGGGACCGACGCAUCUCCUCACGUGGGCCAGGCCUUCACACACCCAAAGCGGAUCCGCGGCCGUGAAAACGAUUGACAACCGGCCUCAUGAGCAAGACAGAGAUGCAGAAAGAGGCUCACCAAAGACAGGCCGCCAUGCAAGAAACCGCUUUGUGGCGCACAGGGCACAUUCGGCCAAAGACACACACGCACUCGGUCACACACACACAAACCCACAGAGAGAGGGAAAGAAACACACAGAGACUGAGAGGUAGAGAGAGAAGACAGAAUGGGAGACACACACAGAGUCAUACAGCAGAGGCAUUGAAACACACACCCCCACGCAACCCCUGAGGCUUCGGGGUUCUGCUCUGGAUGAGAAGGACCCUCGGGUGAGAGAGCAGCCCAGGAGCACGCAGGCCGACCUGUCCUCGAGAUCACGGCGGCACGACUUUUGGGGAGACUCACCCCAACCAUCACCGUCCGGGCAGGCCUGAGGCUGGGAUGCCGUGCUGCUUCCCCCGGACUCCGCCUGGGGUUUCCUCAUCCUGGUCGGCCCUUUGGGACUCCUGGCAUCCGGAGACGAUCCCGUCGACCCCGUGAAGAGGUCAGGCCGGAGCCUCAGAGCCCCGACACCCAAGCACUGCCAAGGAGGGCUCCUGCUUUGCCAAGCCUCGGAGACUGGUUUCUAAGACAACCGUGGGAACCACUGUG
rnacentral:lncRNA from 10 species